rnacentral:rRNA from 1 species
UACGUGAAACUGCUCAGAGGUAAACGGGUGGGCCCUCGAAAUCCUGUGGCGAGAGGAUUCAGUCUGGGGCGGCGGACGUGAGGACCGGAAAUCGAGGAAGGGCAUCCCGAUCCGGGGCCGUCCGGUCGCACGCAGCGCCGCUGCUACCAGACGCAUUUGACUCUCGCCCUAAGGACGCCGCAGCCGGUUGGGUAGUGCAAGCGCGACGGCCUGAGGGGCGGAAGAUGGCAGGUGGCCGGUGGCGUACGGUUCUCGUGCGUCGCCGGUUGUUAGCCGUUCCGUCAGUGGCCCGUCACCCGACCGAGGUGUCGCGAGGCUCCCCGCAGGAGUCUCCCCGUCUCCUCCUCCAUGGAUGUCGGGACAGAGUGCCGCAGGUGGCAGACGCCGUCCCGUUCGCACCCCACCAGGGGUGGUCGGGCGAGUGCAGGCCGCCGUUGGCGGUGCCGGACCCGUCGGAGGUCGGAGGCUGGCGGCGAGUAGGUCGGUCACCCACCCGACCCGUCUUGAAACACGGACCAAGGAGUCUAACAUGUGCGCGAGUCAAUGGGUCUUGAACAGGCCCAGGGGCGCAAUGAAAGCAAAGGUCGGCCUAAGCCGACCGAGUUGGGAUCCCCGGUCUCGGCCGGGGCGCACCAACGACCCGUCCCGUCCGGCUCGCCGGUGGGGCGGAGUGUGAGCGUACACGUUGGGACCCGAAAGAUGGUGAACUAUGCCCGGACAGGA